rnacentral:rRNA from 1 species
CCUACGGGAGACAGCAGUGAGGAAUAUUGGUCAAUGGACGAGAGUCUGAACCAGCCAAGCAGCGUGAAGGAUGACUGCCCUAUGGGUUGUAAACUUCUUUUAUAAAGGAAUAAAACGAGGCACGUGUGCCUUUUUGCAUGUACUUUAUGAUUAAAGAUCGGCUAACUCCGUGCCAGCAGCCGCGGUAAUACGGAGGAUCCGAGCGUUAUCCGGAUUUAUUUGGUUUAAAGGGAGCGUAGAGGGGUUGUUAAGUCAGUUGUGAAAGUUUGCGGCUCAACCGUAAGAUUGCAAUUGAUACUGGCAGUCUUGAGUAAAGUUGAGGUAGGCGGAAUUCGUGGUGUAGCGGUGAAAUGCUUAGAUAUAACGAAGAACACCGAAUGCGAAGGCAGCUUACUAAGCUGUGACUGACAUUGAUGCUCGAAAGUGUGGGUAUCAAACAGGAUUAGAUACCCCAGUAGUC